AGUGAACGCUGGCGGUAGGCCUAACACAUGCAAGUCGAACGGCAGCACAGUAAGAGCUUGCUCUUACGGGUGGCGAGUGGCGGACGGGUGAGGAAUACAUCGGAAUCUACUUUUUCGUGGGGGAUAACGUAGGGAAACUUACGCUAAUACCGCAUACGACCUACGGGUGAAAGCAGGGGAUCUUCGGACCUUGCGCGAUUGAAUGAGCCGAUGUCGGAUUAGCUAGUUGGCGGGGUAAAGGCCCACCAAGGCGACGAUCCGUAGAUGGUCUGAGAGGAUGAUCAGCCACACUGGAACUGAGACACGGUCCAGACUCCUACGGGAGGCAGCAGUGGGGAAUAUUGGACAAUGGGCGCAAGCCUGAUCCAGCCAUACCGCGUGGGUGAAGAAGGCCUUCGGGUUGUAAAGCCCUUUUGUUGGGAAAGAAAAGCAGCAGGUUAAUACCCCGCUGUUCUGACGGUACCAAAAGAAUAAGCACCGGCUAACUUCGUG
rnacentral:rRNA from 1 species